UACGUAGGGCGCAAGCGUUGUCCGGAAUUAUUGGGCGUAAAGAGCUCGUAGGCGGCUUGUCGCGUCGGAUGUGAAAGCCCGGGGCUUAACCCCGGGUCUGCAUUCGAUACGGGCAGGCUAGAGUUCGGUAGGGGAGAUCGGAAUUCCUGGUGUAGCGGUGAAAUGCGCAGAUAUCAGGAGGAACACCGAUGGCGAAGGCAGGUCUCUGGGCCACUACUGACGCUGAUGCGCGAAAGCGUGGGGAGCAAACAGG
rnacentral:rRNA from 1 species